UAGAAAAAUAAAAAGACCAAAAAGAUACAUGAUGGAAAUGAUGAACAGUUGCUCUGUUUACUUACUUUCAAGUACCUAGCUUUUAUGUUAGAGUUCUUCCAGGUAUUACUAAAAACUACAAUUUAAUAUCCAUAGGAGCAUGAGCCUAAAACUAAAGUUUAGGUAAGAGAAAGGCAUGAUAUAAAGUUUGAGCUACUGUUUAUCUUGUUCCUACUACACUAAGUUCUGGAGAUUUAUCUUGAAAACUUGCAAAUUACAUGAUGAGUUCAUAGCAUUACAAACUUCCUACCACAGCCAUACUUGUUAUAACAUCUUUUCCUACUUAUUCACAUUGAGUUUGAUCGAGCUGUGUAGACCCUUAGGAGCUUUUCAUGUGGUUAAAUUAAGAUAUUCACUUGCACACAUCCACUACACCAUUCACCACCAUAUAUUAAAAUUGCUAAAAAUAUUAUCACACACUAUCCCAAAUGUUGUUAUUCUCUCUCUAAAAAGAUUCAAUGCAGAAAAGAUAUUGGUUAUGCAAAAAUAUGCGAGGAAAUAAAAAGGGGCAAGUGCCGGAACCUCGAAAAUGAAAGAAAAAAGUGAGACGAGAGGUAAAAAUGGACAAGUGUCUGGAGUAGAAUUAGGGGGUACAAAGAUGCCCACUUGAGAGGAAAAAAAUGGACAAGUGUCCGACAGUAGAAUUAGGGGUAUCUACUACCCACCUGAAAAAAGAAAAAAAGAUAGCCCAUGUUCUCCCAAAGCAAAGAUCAAAGAAGAGGAUAGAUAGCAAUAUGAGGAGCAAUGAGAAGUAAGUUUUAUUAUCACUUAUACAUUUUUACCAUCACUAUCAUUUACUCCACCACACAUGCACAUCUUGAUUCAAUUAUAUGCUGAGUUCCUUUGGAUCCAUGGCUCUAUUAGACAACAUAUGUAUGAGCUGUUUUUCACUCCUAUGAGCUCCACUUAAAUAUUCCAUUAGCUAUAGGUAAGUGACAUUUUGGUAAGGAUCCACAAAUACCACAUAUAGAGAGACUUGAGAGAAUCAUUGCUAGGAACGCUGAGUUUUAUUUUGAAAACUUAUGAAAAACUCUAGAACAAAGGUGAAGUAU
rnacentral:lncRNA from 1 species